UUCGGAACAUCACGCAACGAGGAACGAGGUCCUCGCGUGCGGCGGGUCCUUCGUACGGUUCGACGUGCCACGCGACUCUGGGCUUUCGAAGCGGAUAUCACCACCAUUCAUCGGUUCGCCUCGUGGCGCUUCUCGCGCGACUAGCCGCUCUCUGCGGAGACUUGUUUUUGACACGGGGGUGAUCGAGCGGGGGUGUCCGUCGCGUCGUUGGAGAAUUUCAUCCCUUCCAUCCCCCGAUUGUCUCCCGGGCGUCGCCUCCUCUCAUUAUUUUCCCUCACCCGAUAGCCCUCCCUUCCCUUUCUCGAUUAUCGUCGGCCCGCCUCCUUCUCGUCUCUCUCCUCCUUCCCCGAUUCGAUUCCGCGUCGUGGGAUAUC
rnacentral:misc_RNA from 1 species